GAUGAAGAACGUAGCGAAAUGCGAUAAGUAAUGUGAAUUGCAGAAUUCAGUGAAUCAUCGAAUCUUUGAACACACAUUGCGCCCCCUGGUAUUCCGGGGGGCAUGCCUGUUCGAGCGUCAUUUCACCACUCAAGCCUCGCUUGGUAUUGGGCAACGCGGUCCGCCGCGUGCCUCAAAUCGACCGGCUGGGUCUUCUGUCCCCUAAGCGUUGUGGAAACUAUUCGCUAAAGGGUGUUCGGGAGGCUACGCCGUAAAACAACCCCAUUUCUAAGGUUGACCUCGGAUCAGGUAGGGAUACCCGCUGAACUUAAGCAUAUCAAUAAGCGGAGGA
rnacentral:misc_RNA from 1 species